UAAGGUGGUUAUAUCGUUGGGGUACACCUCUUCCCUUUCCGAACAGAGAAGUUAAGUCCAACUGAGCCGAUGAUACUUGGGUAAUACCUGGGAAAGUAGGUCGCCGCCACUA
rnacentral:rRNA from 2 species